UACGGAGGGUGCGAGCGUUGUCCGGAAUCACUGGGCGUAAAGGGCGCGCAGGCGGCCGUGUAAGUCCGCUGUGAAAGGCCGGGGCUCAACCCCGGGGUGUCAGCGGGGACUGCACGGCUGGAGUCCCGGAGAGGGAGGCGGAAUACCUGGUGUAGCGGUGGAAUGCGUAGAGAUCAGGUGGAACACCGAUGGCGAAGGCAGCCUCCUGGACGGGUACUGACGCUGAGGCGCGAAAGCGUGGGGAGCGAACGGG
rnacentral:rRNA from 1 species